GGCCCAGCCGCCGCCUGCUGCCCGGCGCCCCGCGCGCGACGAGGCUGGAAAAAAUAUCUUGAGUGGAUAACAAGAAUUGCAAGAAGGAUAUAGUCCCUGCUUUGAUUUGUGAGCACUCUUCAAGUGAGCAGUCUUCGAAUGAUUUGGAACUUCCCCUAUCAUAGUAACCAAAACAAUGAUAUCAUG